rnacentral:rRNA from 1 species
UGGGGAAUAUUGCACAAUGGACGGAAGUCUGCUGCAGCGACGCCGCGUGGGGGAUGAAGGCUUUCGGGUUGUAAACUUCUUUCAGUACAGAAGAAGCUUUAUUGUGACGGUAUGUGCAGAAGAAGCGCCGGCUCACUACGUGCCAGCAGCCGCGGUAAUACGUAGGGCGCGAGCGUUGUCCGGAAUUAUUGGGCGUAAAGAGCUCGUAGACGGUUUGUCGUGUCUGCUGUGAGAGACCGGGGCUUAAGACCGGGGCUGCAGUGGGUACGGGCAGGCUGGAGUGCGGUAGGGGUAACCGGAGUUCCUUGUGUAGCGGUGGAAUGCGCAGAUAUCAGGAGGAAAACCGAUGGCGAAGGCAGGUUACUGGGGCGUUACUGACGCUGAGGAGCGAAAGCAUGAGGGGCGAACAGG